rnacentral:rRNA from 1 species
AUUGAACGCUGGCGGCAGGCCUAACACAUGCAAGUCGAGCGGCAGCGGGAAAGUAGCUUGCUACUCUUGCCGGCGGGCGGCGGACGGGUGAGUAAUGCCUGGGAAAUUGCCCAGUCGCGGGGGAUAACAGUUGGAAACGACUGCUAAUACCGCAUGCGCCUUACGGGGGAAAGCAGGGGACCUUCGGGCCUUGCGCGAUUGGAUCUGCCCAGGUGGGAUUAGCUAGUUGGUGAGGUAAUGGCUCACCAAGGCGACGAUCCCUAGCUGGUCUGAGAGGAUGAUCAGCCACACUGGAACUGAGACACGGUCCAGACUCCUACGGGAGGCAGCAGUGGGGAAUAUUGCACAAUGGGGGAAACCCUGAUGCAGCCAUGCCGCGUGUGUGAAGAAGGCCUUCGGGUUGUAAAGCACUUUCAGCGAGGAGGAAAGGUUGGUGCCUAAUACGUAUCAACUGUGACGUUACUCGCAGAAGAAGCACCGGCUAACUCCGUGCCAGCCGCCGCCGUAACAC